CGCGCCUCCCGAGGGCGGUGCCGCGGGGCGGGAAGGGUCGGGGCGUCCCGCGCUCGGAGUGUAGGAUGCGGCCCGAUGCGAUGCGAAAGGGCGGUUAAAAGAGAAAUGUGAUAAAAUUAGGAAAACGGCUGAAGACACUGAUUUGUACAACUCUGGGCUACUUCAGGCAAUGAGAGGUUUACAUAGCACGGUUUAACAAGAUCAAGGUCUCCCACGAAGCACACGGAUGACGGACAGCUCAUCGGAACCAGACACAACACAGCACCAAUACACGUGGGAUGUGAUGGACAGUGCCAGGCCAUUCCCCGGGUGGGUAACACACAACCUCUGGAUAAGGCAAUUCAAUGGAACUCUUAAUUCAAGUCACAACAUACCCAGGCAGCAUGCAGGGAAAAGUCAUUUAUUUUGUACAUUGGGAUGACACACCUCGCAGCGUUUCCAUUUGAUGUAGUUAGAGCGACAGGAUAUAAACCAUUCAAAUAACACACAUAUAUAUAUAUGCUGUAUAUAUAUAUAUCUCAAGUCAACAGUUGUCUUUACCGGAAUAAACAUUAUCUGUUUGUUGGCUUUAUUAUUAUUAUCAUUUUUUGGUAAAAAUAAAACUAUUUGAAUUCCCUAAUUAACAAAAUGCACAGUGAUCAGAAACCCAGUCCUUCUCCCAGCUGCCGCCCGUCCCCGUGAUGCCGUGGCUGCAGACGCUGCCGGGGGCUCCAUCCCAUGCCCCCCACGUCCCUGCUUCCCCCCCUGCACCCCACGUCGCCGCUUCCCCUCCAUCACAAGCGCGGGAGGGGCCGUUCCCGACCCGUUUCUUUGUCGCCGAUGGAUUCCUCUGGCUUUUUACCAUCGAGAAGUUUUAUGGCUCGGAUCAGAAGCAAAAAACGAAGCACCCGACCCGACGACCCAUCCAACCCAACCCCUCCACCUGAAGUAUCCCUGGUAAGGUGGAGUCUGAUGGGUACGGCUAAGGGCGAGUUCCCGGUGCAACAGGUGUAAGGAUCACAAACGAUGACGGGAGGCUUUUUCCUAGCAUUAAAAAGCUCUUUCAAGCAGAAACUAUGAGGAAGGGAAAUAAGACUCUUGUUUUUUUUGUUGGUUUUUUUUUUCCCUGACAAGAAAAAUAAAGAAAUCUCUAAUUUCAGAGCAGACGGAUCUGGGCGGCUUCACCCCUGCUUAACCCCACACCCACCGGGCCUGGCCCCGGCUCCAGGCAUUGCAGGUGGGGUUGUGGGGCCAUGGGAAUGCCAUCUCAUGGGGGUGGCUGUGGGGGCCAGCUCGUCCCACAGGUGCUCAAACCCAGGGAGGGGCCACGUGCCCACGUUUCCUCCCCUUUGCUGUGUCCCGUCCAUCACGUGACCCAUAAGAAGUCAUCCUGCGUCCCCCUGCUCUUCUACAUACUGCUCUGGUUAAAAAAAA